AUGAAAGCGAAUAAGGGCGUAUGGCGGAUGCCUUGGCUCUCAGAGGCGAUGAAGGACGUGAUAAGCUGCGAUAAGCUACGGGUAAGUGCAAACAACUUUUAAUCCGUAGAUUUCCGAAUGGGGAAACCCAUCAUGCUGAAGGCAUGAUAUCCUGAAAAGGAAGCGAACCCAGGGAACUGAAACAUCUAAGUACCUGGAGGAACAGAAAACAAAUAGUGAUUCCCUAAGUAGUGGCGAGCGAAAGGGGAAUAGCCCAAAUCUCAAUAACUUAGUUUUUGAGAGGUUGUAGGACUGCAAUAUGCAAUAACAUUUUAAACUGAAUCUUCUGGAAAGUAGAACUAUAAAAGGUGAUAGUCCUGUAAGUGUAAGAAUAUUAAAGUUAGCAGUAUCCUGAGUACCACGGGACCGGAGAAAUCCUGUGGGAAUCGACCAGCACCAUCUGGUAAGGCUAAAUACUACUGAGAGACCGAUAGUGAACAAGUACCGUGAGGGAAAGGUGAAAAGAACCGCGAACAGCGGAGUGAAAUAGUACCUGAAACCAUACGCUUACAAGCGGUAGGAGCCCUUAGGGGUGACUACGUGCCUUUUGCAUAAUGAGCCUACGAGUUAUACUUCACCGGCAAGGUUAAUCUUGAAAACAAGAAAAGCCGUAGCGAAAGCGAGUCUGAAUAGGGCAUUAGUCGGUGGGGAUAGACGCGAAACCUAGUGAUCUACCUAUGGCCAGGUUGAAGUUCCGGUAACACGGGAUGGAGGACCGAACUGUUUAGCGUUGAAAAGCUAUCGGAUGAGCUGUGGGUAGGGGUGAAAGGCUAAUCAAACUAGGAGAUAGCUCGUACUCCCCGAAAUGUUUUUAGGAACAGCCUCGGACCAAUAGUCAUAGAGGUAGAGCUACCGAUUGGACUAGGGGGCUUCAUCGCCUACCAAAUCCUGACGAACUCCGAAUGCUAUGACUUAUAUCCGGGAGUGAGGCCCAGGGUGCUAAGGUCAUGGGCCGAGAGGGAAAUAACCCAGACCAUCAGCUAAGGUCCCUAAAUUCAUGCUAAGUUGAUCAAACGUUGUCUGAUUGCUAUAACAGCUAGGAUGUUUGCUUGGAAGCAGCAAUUCAUUUAAAGAGUGCGUAACAGCUCACUAGUCGAGUGAUCGGGCGCGGAAAAUAAUCGGGCAUAAAGCAUGAUACCGAAGCUAUGGAUUCAAUUGUUUGACAAUUGAGUGGUAGGGGAGCAUUCCAGUUGCAUUGAAGGUGUAGCGUGAGCUAUGUUGGAGCGGCUGGAAAAGCAAAUGUAGGCAUAAGUAACGAUAAACCGGGUGAAAAACCCGGUCGCCGAUAGACUAAGGUUUCCUGAUCAAUGCUAAUCAGAUCAGGGUUAGUCGGGUCCUAAGGCUAAGCCGAAAGGUGACGUCGAUGGACAUACAGUUAAUAUUCUGUAACCAGCAUUUAUUGUGAUGGGGUGACGGAGAAGCGUAAGGUCUGCGCACGGACGGAAGUGUGCGUUAAAGGGUGUAGGUAUAUCUGCUGUUGGCAAAUCCGCAGCGGGUGCUGAAACCCGACAGUACCACAAACCUUCGGGGGAGUGGAUAAUGACCCUAAGCCGGCUUCCAAGAAAAACCCCUAAACUUCAGAUAGAUGCUGCCCGUACCGCAAACCGACACAGGUAGUCAAGAAGAAUAUUCUAAGGCGCUCGAGUGAACCGUGGCUAAGGAACUCGGCAAAUUAACCCUGUAACUUCGGGAUAAAGGGUCCCCGCAGCAAUGCGGGGCGCAGUGAAAUGGCUCAGGCGACUGUUUAGCAAAAACACAGGACUCUGCUAAAUCGAAAGAUGAUGUAUAGGGUCUGACACCUGCCCGGUGCUGGAAGGUUAAGGAAGGGGGUCAGCCGCAAGGCGAAGCUCUCAACUGAAGCCCCAGUAAACGGCGGCCGUAACUAUAACGGUCCUAAGGUAGCGAAAUUCCUUGUCGGGUAAGUUCCGACCUGCACGAAUGGUGUAACGAUCUGAGCACUGUCUCGGCCACGAGCUCGGUGAAAUUG
rnacentral:rRNA from 1 species